CCAGCACAGCAGCUGCCUUCGGGCCAGUCGGGAGUUAAGGGAAGGAAAGGCAAGGCAAGUUACAAGAUAAAAGAAAUCAACGGAAGCCUCAAAUACUUUUUUUUUUUUUAAGAAAAGAACAAAAAGGGGGAGUUAAGUUUUCUUUUUCAUUUUUAUACAUCUGGACUUAACUUCCGGGAUCGCUGCAAGACCCUUUUGUUCCUUUGCCAUGAGCAGGUUUUAGGCCGCUCUGUUGGGACCAUGGUGUUACCUUCGCGAUUACACUGGAUCAGAAACAGGCCAUGGAGGGACAGGAUCCGGAGGCGCCAGCUCAACCGUCCAUGAAAGACCUCCUCCUCCUCCACCUCCCUCUACAAUAUAUGAGUAUCCUCUCCACCUCCCUCUACAAUAUUUUAUACAGAAUCGGGAGGAUCCUAUGAAUUUCCCACUGGAUUAAAAACAUGACACAAUCCAAGGAGACAGCAUACCCAGUAGAGCCAUAUAGACGGUCGUAAACACCGUUUCACCAGGCUGCACAGAUGAUGCCGCUCUUCCCUUCACCUCCCAUCCUGUCGAAAAGGUUUUGUUAUUUUGUGCUCAUUUCAGAAGCUGAUGUGUAAAUGGUGUGUAUGUCUGUUGCCAUGACAACCCAGCAGCAAUUGGCCUGGGCUUCUUACCAGAGUACAAAUGUGCUCUUGAUACGAUGCUUAUCAGACUUUGCCAGACAAUUUUCCCUCCUGGAUUCACACAAAAGGUUUCAAAGACUCCUAACUGCAUUUAGAGGAGAGACAGGCUGAAAUUUCUCACUUGGCUCACAUGAAUGAUGAAGCUCUAAAGCUCUGAUCCCCUGCUGAAGUCAUAGUGUUCUAGUCUAUCAUUUCAGUACGCUGGGGGCAACUCUGUAUAAUUAAAGAGGACCAAGUAUAAAUGCAGCAAAAAAAUCUUGCUGGUUACCAGAACUGGGCUUUUGUUGAUGUUUCAUGUGACACAUAACUAUCUCUGCAUUUAAUAAAAGGUCACUGUGACUGCCUGUGUUCUUAUUCC
rnacentral:lncRNA from 1 species